rnacentral:rRNA from 1 species
GAUCCUGGCUCAGAUUGAACGCUGGCGGCGUGCUUAACACAUGCAAGUCGCGCGUGAAAGGACUUCGGUCCGAGUAAAGCGGCGCACGGGUGAGUAACGCGUGGAUGAUCUACCCAUGAGUUAGGAAUAACGGCUGGAAACGGUCGCUAAUACCAAAUACGCUCCGAUUUCAACUUCGGGGGAAAGGUGGCCUCUGCUUGCAAGCUACUGCUCAUGGAUGAGUCCGCGUCCCAUUAGCUAGUUGGUGGGGUAACGGCCCACCAAGGCGACGAUGGGUAGCCGGUCUGAGAGGAUGACCGGCCACACUGGGACUGGAACACGGCCCAGACUCCUACGGGAGGCAGCAGUGGGGAAUAUUGCGCAAUGGGCGAAAGCCUGACGCAGCGACGCCGCGUGAGGGAUGAAGGUCCUCGGAUCGUAAACCUCUGUCAGGAGGGAAGAACCGCCACGGUGCUAAUCAGCCGUGGUCUGACGGUACCUCCAAAGGAAGCACCGGCUAACUCCGUGCCAGCAGCGGC